rnacentral:rRNA from 1 species
GACGAACGCUGGCGGCGUGCUUAACACAUGCAAGUCGAACGGGAACCUUUAUUUCGGUAAAGGUGAGAGUGGCAAACGGGUGAGUAACACGUAGGCAACCUGCCGACAGGAUGGGGACAACAUUCCGAAAGGAAUGCUAAUACCGAAUGGAGUCCGAGGAUGGCAUCAUCCUUGGAUAAAAGAUGGCCUCUUAACAAUGCUAUCGCCUGUCGAUGGGCCUGCGUCUGAUUAGCCAGUUGGCGGGGUAACGGCCCACCAAAGCGACGAUCAGUAGCCGGUCUGAGAGGAUGAACGGCCACAUUGGGACUGAGACACGGCCCAGACUCCUACGGGAGGCAGCAGUGGGGAAUCUUCCACAAUGGGCGAAAGCCUGAUGGAGCAACGCCGCGUGAGUGAAGAAGGUCUUCGGAUCGUAAAGCUCUGUUGCACGGGACGAAAACCGG